rnacentral:rRNA from 1 species
GACGAACGCUGGCGGCGUGCUUAACACAUGCAAGUCGAACGGUGAACCUCUUCGGAGGGGAUCAGUGGCGAACGGGUGAGUAACACGUUGGCAACCUGCCCCCGUCUCUGUGAUAACUCCAAGACAUUGGGGCUAAUACCGGAUGUUCACCGCUUCCCGCAUGGGUGGUGGUGCAAAGGGUUUCCGGCGGGAGAUGGGCGCGCGGCCUAUCAGCUGGUCGGCAGGGUAGUGGCCUACCAAGGCGACGACGGGUAGCCGGCCUGAGAGGGUGACCGGCCACCCUGGGACUGAGGCACGGAGCAGAAUCCUACGUGAGGCAACAGUCGAGAGUCUUGCGCAAUAGGCGGAAGCCUGACACAGCGACGCCGCGUGGGGGAUACCGGCCUUCGGGUUAUAAACCUCUUUCAGCAGGGACGAAGCGGAAGUGACGGUACCUGAAGAAGAAGCACCGGCUAACUACGUG